UCCUACUGAGGAAACAUGCACAUGUCUUGCCUCCUGUCCUAGUCCCCGAGCCAGUAAAGGGGACCCCACAGGGGCUGGCUGGGGAAGAAGAGGAGUUUUUUCUAGAAGGAACUGUCGAAGGGAU
ensembl:snoRNA SNORD22 Small nucleolar RNA SNORD22